ACGGAAGGCAGCAGUGGGGAAUAUUGGACAAUGGGGGAAACCCUGAUCCAGCGACGCCGCGUGAGUGAAGAAGUAUUUCGGUAUGUAAAGCUCUAUCAGCAGGGAAGAUAAUGACGGUACCUGACUAAGAAGCACCGGCUAAAUACGUGCCAGCAGCCGCGGUAAUACGUAUGGUGCAAGCGUUAUCCGGAUUUACUGGGUGUAAAGGGAGCGUAGGCGGUCAUGCAAGUCUGAUGUGAAAACCCGGGGCUCAACUUCGGGAUUGCAUUGGAAACUGUAAGACUAGAGUGUCGGAGGGGUAAGUGGAAUUCCUAGUGUAGCGGUGAAAUGCGUAGAUAUUAGGAGGAACACCAGUGGCGAAGGCGGCUUACUGGACGAUUACUGACGCUGAGGCUCGAAAGCGUGGGGAGCAAACAGGAUUAGAUACCCUGGUA
rnacentral:rRNA from 1 species